rnacentral:rRNA from 1 species
GACGAACGCUGGCGGCGUGCUUAACACAUGCAAGUCGAACGGAAAGGCCCUGCUUUUGUGGGGUGCUCGAGUGGCGAACGGGUGAGUAACACGUGAGUAACCUGCCCUUGACUUUGGGAUAACUUCAGGAAACUGGGGCUAACACCGGAUAGGAGCUCCUGCUGCAUGGUGGGGGUUGGAAAGUUUCGGCGGUUGGGGAUGGACUCGCGGCUUAUCAGCUUGUUGGUGGGGUAGUGGCUUACCAAGGCUUUGACGGGUAGCCGGCCUGAGAGGGUGACUGGCCACAUUGGGACUGAGAUACGGCCCAGACUCCUACGGGAGGCAGCAGUGGGGAAUAUUGCACAAUGGGCGGAAGCCUGAUGCAGCAACGCCGCGUGCGGGAUGACGGCCUUCGGGUUGUAAACCGCUUUCGCCUGUGACGAAGCGUGAGUGACGGUAAUGGGUAAAGAAGCACCGGCUAACUACGUG